rnacentral:rRNA from 1 species
ACAGCAGCCGCCGCGGUAAAACGGAGGGGGCUAGCGUUGUUCGGAAUUACUGGGCGUAAAGCGCACGUAGGCUGCUUUGUAAGUCAGAGGUGAAAGCCCGGGGCUCAACCCCGGAUGUGCCUUUGAGACUGCAGGGCUAGAACGUCGGAGGGGUGAGUGGAAUUCCGAGUGUAGAGGUGAAAUUCGUAGAUAUUCGGAAGAACACAGUGGCGAAGGCGGCUCACUGGACGACUGUUGACGCUGAGGUGCGAAAGCGUGGGGAGCAAACAGGAUUAGAUACCCGAGUAGUCCCUGUCUCUUAUACA